rnacentral:lncRNA from 1 species
CGGAUGGCACCCUUGAGAAGAAUUUUGUAACAAGAUCAUCAUUCUUGAUAUCAUUCAUGGAGAUGUCAUCCAUCUGAGGGUUUUGGAUGACGUUGAGUAAAUUUGAUGCAUGAGAUUCUCUUCAUCGCUUGCCCUGCCUCCAUCUCUCUCUCUCUCCGAUGAAGGUUUUAUUUAUAUAUAAUGAUUUCCACAAAAUGAUGAAUCAGCGACAUCAGCUAUUGGGAUUCACCAGAAAUCCUCUUAUGCUUCCUGGAUAAGAAAAUACGCAUUGCUCACUCAAAUUCUUUCCAAAAAUUCUUCCCAGAAAAAUUGAAUACCUAAAUUAACAAGAAUCAAACCCACACAAAUUAAUUGAUAAAACUGAAUUAAAAAAAAUAAAAAUAAAGCAGUAAUACCCAGUUCACAGAACCAUCAAUUACAUCAAGAAUUUACAUAAAAAUAGUUUAGAAAAAGAUAAAAAAGAAAGCAAGGGACUAUCAAAUUCGAUUGAUUGAAUUUAUGAAUCUGAAUGAGUCGACUUAAUUUCUUGUCGACAAUGAUUCCGCAACCAAGAAGUUCUUAAUAAAACACGAAGACAAUCAAAUCAAAU